rnacentral:sRNA from 1 species
ACACGAGAAAGGAGGUGAUCCGGAAGUGGUUUCUUUUCGGAUGCGUGAGGUGACUGCGGGCUGAGGCCUGCCGUCACAGGACGGCAGGCCUCCUGCCGUACACCCAAGCAGUCACCGGCCCGCGGGCUCGUCGGCACAUCCGGCCGACCUCUCCCUCCGCGAGGGGGAGAGAGCAGAGCCCGCGGGCUUCUGCGU